UCUUUUAUAAUUUAAGAUAGAAUAUUGUACUGAAGCUACAAAAGAGGUAUAAAAUAUCUAAAAGAG
rnacentral:tRNA from 1 species